CCAUGCAGGACAAAGACACUUGCAGAAACUCCAAAGCUUAGAGGCUCCCAGGAACUGGUGACAAAGACCAAGUGAAUCCUUCAUUAUAUGACAGUGGGGAAACUAAGGAGUAGCUAGAAACUUCUAUAUGAAGAGGCAUCGCCAUCAUGCAUACUGAAGUGAUGCAUCUGUGGGUGCAGAAGCUGGAUACCUACCAGGAGUACAAGGAGGCUGCGUCCUCUUACCAGGAAGCCUGGAGCACACUCCGGAAGCAGGUGUUUGGAUCCUGGAUCAGAAACCCACCGGAUUAUCACCAGUUCAAGUGAGAAGGAAAUGUUUGCUCUGGUAGCAGGACCCUUCAUCCUGAACUGCCUUCCUCCACGCAGGACAAGUCUUAGCUUUUUUGGUAGUUAAAUCAGGGAACAGUCUUUCUGAGCUUUGCAUCUCUGUUGUGUAAUACAGAUGGAAUCUGGAACUUAGAGCAGGCUAUACUUGAUUGAAGUAGCUCUCUGCUAAAAUGGCAUCUCACUAAUGACCUCACUAUCUGACUUCCAUUGUGUUUUAUUGCUUCUCUAAAAUAUGAAAUCAGAGUUUGGAACAUGAUGCUUUGAAAGUACUCUGCAGCAGCUCUGUUUUAUGGGUUCCUACAUUGAUUCAGCAAAUAU
rnacentral:sRNA from 1 species